rnacentral:rRNA from 1 species
GAUGAACGCUGGCGGCGUGCCUAAUACAUGCAAGUCGAGCGAACGGACGAGAAGCUUGCUUCUCUGAUGUUAGCGGCGGACGGGUGAGUAACACGUGGAUAACCUACCUAUAAGACUGGGAUAACUUCGGGAAACCGGAGCUAAUACCGGAUGAUAUUUUGAACCGCAUGGUUCAAAAGUGAAAGACGGUCUUGCUGUCACUUAUAGAUGGAUCCGCGCUGCAUUAGCUAGUUGGUAAGGUAACGGCUUACCAAGGCAACGAUGCAUAGCCGACCUGAGAGGGUGAUCGGCCACACUGGAACUGAGACACGGUCCAGACUCCUACGGGAGGCAGCAGUAGGGAAUCUUCCGCCAUGGGCGAAAGCCUGACGGAGCAACGCCGCGUGAGUGAUGAAGGUCUUCGGAUCGUAAAACUCUGUUAUUAGGGAAGAACAUAUGUGUAAGUAACUGCGCACAUCUUGACGGUACCUAAUCAGAAAGCCACGGCUAACUACGUG